rnacentral:lncRNA from 1 species
AAUGUUUAUUCGGAAAAAAUUAAUGAAGUUUUGUUGGACUCUGUAACAACUAGUUGGAGUGGUUAAUCUGUUCCUUUACACGAUAAUGUAUGCUCAGAUGCAUCUUGUAAUGUGGUUGGAGUGUGUAAUCCGUCUUUUUUCAUGACAAAAUGGUUACUCUGAUGCAUUUUGUAAUGUGUUAAAAUAUUUUUUU